GAUGAACGCUGGCGGCGUGCCUAAUACAGGCAAGUCGAGCGAACGGACGAGAAGCUUGCUUCUCUGAUUUUAGCGGCGGACGGGGGAGUAACACGUGGAUAACCUACCUAUAAGACUGGGAUAACUUCGGGAAACCGGAGCUAAUACCGGAUAAUAUUUUGAACCGCAUGGUUCAAAAUUGAAAGACGUUCUUGCUGUCCCUUAUAGAUGGAUCCGCGCUGCAUUAGCUAGUUGGUAAGGUAACGGCUUACCAAGGCAACGAUGCAUAGCCGACCUGAGAGGGUGAUCGGCCACACUGGAACUGAGACACGGUCCAGACUCCUACGGGAGGCAGCAGUAGGGAAUCUUCCGCAAUGGGCGAAAGCCUGACGGAGCAACGCCGCGUGAGUGAUGAAGGUCUUCGGAUCGUAAAACUCUGUUAUUAGGGAAGAACAUAUGUGUAAGUAACUGUGCACAUCUUGACGGUACCUAAUCAGAAAGCCACGGCUAACUACGUG
rnacentral:rRNA from 1 species